rnacentral:rRNA from 1 species
GUCUAUGGCCAUAUCACCCUGAACGAGCCCGAUCUCAUCAGAUCAUGGAAGCUAAGCAGGGUUGGGCCUGGUUAGUAUUUGGAUGGGAGAAGUCAGAGGAAAAACUGGUUUGAGAGGAA